UACGUAGGGUGCGAGCGUUUGUCCGGAAUUAUUGGGCGUAAAGGGCUCGUAGGCGGUUUGUCGCGUCGGGAGUGAAAUCCACCUGGCUUAACUGGUGGCUUGCUUUCGAUACGGGCAGACUGGAGGUAUGCAGGGGAGAACGGAAUUCCGGGUGUAGUGGUGAAAUGCGUAGAGAUCCGGAGGAACACCAGUGGCGAAGGCGACACGCUGGGCCGUACCUGACACUGAUGCGCGACAGCAUGGGGAGCAAACAGG
rnacentral:rRNA from 1 species